rnacentral:pre_miRNA from 1 species
CAUUAUGGUCACCUUUACCUGUCAGUGUUCUUAAUCUACAGAGCUGUAAAAUAGUCUAAUUAAGAACACUGACAGGUAAAGGUGACCAUAAUG